rnacentral:lncRNA from 1 species
AACUGCAUUAUGCUGUAUUAUGAGCCGGUAUUUACCAUCUGGCCCAAUCACAGUAACAAGCUGAGCACUUCUGAAUAAAAGACAUUUUUCCUCAAAAUUUAUACUGCCUCCAGUGCCAGUAUUCUCUAUGGACCCUGAGCACAUAAUUAUUUCAUGGGGUAUCCUGCACAUAGAUCCAAGCAGAUGCCGGGACAUCCUGCAGAAGUACCCACUGAGGGUUUAGGCUUUCCAAGGCACACAGGUCGUGCUUGACAUCUGGUUGCUGCAAAGACUAACACAAAAAUGUAUGAGAAAUUUAAUCGUGUUCCAAGAGCUGCAUCCCCGUUGAGCUGUGAACCCAGGCUUCCUUUGGCCUUUUUUGUGUGACAGUAUCUGUCGAACAACUUCUUCAAGAUGUCUCCUGGCAGCUUCUACCGGAUGCAUGCCAUUAUCUACUGUGCUGUCUCCUUGGGAAGGACCUCCACAUCCAACAGGUCAUGCAUUCUGUCAGCCAUAUCAGCUUGCCUAAGAAAGAUCCUGCCACUCCAUGUGAACUUGCUCUCCUGAAUGCUGUAAACCACCAGCACUCACAAAGGCACAAAUGUCAUGCACCUUUCUGAGAUGUUCCUGUCCAGCUCCAGGUUUCCCUCUCUCUUUCAGUCUUCAUGCUUCCUUCACACAACAAGGUUUUCACUUUCUUUCUGUUUCCCUUUAGUGCCACUCUUUUAGCCAAGUUAUUCUUCACCCUCCCAUCUUCUCCUAACUGACACAUCUGUUCACAUGCUCAAACUAUCACUUCUUUGAGGAAAUGCCAGUUCUCCCUCACUUCUUUUCUUUCUUCUCUACCAUGGAAUCUGUCAAGAGUAGUUUUCUCCAUUCAUUUAUCCUCAGAUACGCAGUCCUUGAUGAGAAGCUCGGCGUAGGUCCCAGGGGCAUACUUUGUUAUUAUUAUUUUCAUAAAGAACAACAACAACAACAAAAAUAUCCAGACACAAGUUAAAAAUUGUAAAUCUUUCGCUUGUCUUUAUCGGAGAUUCCAUAUAGACUGGGGAAAUCUUCAGCCUGAGCCUUGGAGAUGAACAAAUAAAAAAAUCAAAUACAAAUUCAAUAAAUAAUAUAAUGAGCUCUUCAAACCUUCUGGAAAAGUUUAAUAAAUCCGAGAUACUUAGACACAUGUUUACCAUAUAACUAUUUGUAGGAACAUGGUACGUAUCAAAAAGUAAAAUGUACUUGCAUUCCUGUAGAGACAUAUUCUAAGGUGUGAGAAGAUUGUCCCAGUCAACAAAUGUCCUUCGCUUUCAAAGGCUGAACUAUUUUCUCAUAUAAAUAAAAGGACAAGCCAAUAAGUGAUGGUUAUUUCAGUGGAGAAAAGUAACAGCUAAUCCUGGAGUUGAUUUUUCAUCUCAGACUGCAUUUGACAGCUUUGAAUUCAUCCUAAUUGUGAAAAAACACAAGAUGGUUAAAACAUCCUGUGUAAACAAGAAUGAAGACAUUGAUUGAAAUAAGCUUUUGGAAAGAGGCUGUUGUUUGUAACACAAAGAAAUAGAAGAUUAUAUCCCAAAAGAAAAGUGUUCAAUGUUAUUAAAAUUAUAUUUCCAAUUUCUUUCCUUCCGUUGAUUUUUUUUUUAAUUGGAGGGCCAAAAUAUCCUCAGGACAGCGAGCUGCAGUCAGCAUUUUGCAAGAAGAAUCUUUCCAUUGGAAGACUUCCAACCAGGUCUCCAUUUCAGUUCUGCAGAACAUAUAAUUGAUUUUUCCAUAUAGUUAUAGUCUAUUAGAUGCAUUUAAAUCUUUACAUUGCUGCCUGUUUGAUGUGGGCGACGUAUUUUAUCCACUGUAAAUGGUAAUUUCUUCUUUCCAGUUUUCUAGGUGGAAUUCUGCAGUUACUAUUCACAAGCUAAGGUCCAGACUUUGGUGUUGGAAUUCUUGCUCUUUCACUGUGGCAUAACCUACCUAUGCUUGCAGCCACACAACUGUUGGGGUGACAGCAUGCACACAAACAGCUAUUCUGUAUGAGAACACCAGGCAUAGCAACACUCUUGCUCAUCUAUACGAACAAGUGAACUGACACCACAUUCAGUUUUUCACUAAAGCAAUUGUAUCUAGAAAUUAUGUGUCUGCUCUACUGUGAACCUCCCUUCAUACACACAAUGAAAAAUCCCAAAUCUUUCUGAGGUUCUAAAAAGGAUUAAAAAAAAACCCUCUUUCUUCCAGUUCAUUGUUGGAUAUGUUAACCAGGAUCAGAGAUGUUCCCAUGAAGUUAAAAACGGGAACUGAAGACUGAAGAGCUACAGCUGUUUCAAGUUGUUGAAUUCAAGUGUGGACAAUCUUUCCAAGUAGCCUGAGGUUUUUCAGGAAUUAUCAGUGCCAGCUGCACAACUCUUUGCAACGAAAGUCACACUACACAUCUGCCUGGACCAGCUCCACGCUUGAUGUGGGUGGCUGAGUGAUCUUCCCUCCAGCAUCUUCAAUACAUGUGCUUAUCCUGCUUCUGACAGAGUCUCUGGAAUAUUGGGAUAUUCCAUGGAGUAUUUGGAUUCCAAUGGAACAUUUGGAAUAUUCCAGCGAGUGGAAUAUUCCCUUGGUGUGUGAAUUCACAGGGUGUGAAUAUUCCCUUGGAUAAUAGUUUGGUGCCAGUUAGAGUGAAUGUUCUCCUAUUUUUUCUGAAUCAUAAGUACAUUCAUGAAGGAAAUCUUAAAAAAAAAAAAAAAAAAAAUCCUUUACUUGUUUGUUUACACAGCAGCUGUAGGCAAAAGGGCUCCCAGCACACCCACUGCAAAUUGUCUGCAUGACAGUUAACCAAGUGUGUGGUUAUCUGAACAAGCCUCUUUUAUGACCAGAUAAAUGCUGUUAAACCUGAAUUUUGCAACUGUCAUCUGCUCAUUCAUCGACUGUGUCAUUCCUAUUCUCAUGUCAUUCAGUUACAACAAUGAAUGAAAAGCAAAUUAUUUCAUCACUGCCAGAAAAAAGUGAUGAUAGUAGCACACUUAAAAUCUGCUGACUGUUAGCAUGCAAAUACAAACUGGCUUUUGCAUGAAACAGAGAAGUAUGAAAGAAGAAGACUUUCCCUGCACACACAACUUGCAGGAGAAUUCCCAGACACCCAACUCAGUGACACUAGCCGAAGUCAGGAGUGGCAGGGAAUUGCUCUUGCACAACCUUGCUCUGGCAAACUCAUUUUUAAGACAGUGUUAAUAGUAGGAAUUAUGGAAAUAAACCAAAAGACUUAGAGCACGUACAGGCUGGCAAAAUAAAUUAAUGUUAUUUUAUGAUAUCUGGGGUAAAGCUUUGAAUAGCUAACUAGAUAUUAAGAAGGCUAGUACUUCUUUUUAAAGAAAUUGGGGUCUGAACAUGAUAGGAUGUUGAAAACUGAGGAAAGCAGAGCCUAUAAAAAAAAAAUCCCUGCCUUACUGUAAAACACCUCUAUUUCAAGAGGAAACUCCUCUCCCCACUUAAAAGAUAGACAAGAAAGAACUCCAUGUGUUUAAACAGGAGGAAAACUGUAAUGUGGAUGCACUGUACUGAGGGCCAUGUUGACCCACAGAGUGUUUGAGUUCUUGCUUUGUACUAUCUGGAUGUGGUCCCAUGGGAAAAAUGCCCCUGCUCUGAUAGGUACAUGACUGGAGUAUAUCCAUGUUCUGCUGGAAAGAACCCAGUCCACAACCUCUAAAGCUCCUCUGUGAUCCCAGUCAAAGCAUUGCAUGCG